GGCUGAUCCAAAGGUAGCAAGUUAUCUCAAUUGACUGUUCACAGUUACAGAUUAAACUCUUUGUUCUAUUCUUUCCCUACCUUCCCACUACUGCAUUUGACGAGUCUUUA
ensembl:misc_RNA Y_RNA Y RNA